CCCAGUAACGGCGAGUGAAGCGGCAACAGCUCAAAUUUGAAAUCUGGCCCCCAGGGCCCGAGUUGUAAUUUGCAGAGGAUGCUUUUGGCGCGGUGCCUUCCGAGUUCCCUGGAACGGGACGCCAUAGAGGGUGAGAGCCCCGUCUGGUCGGACACCAAGCCAGUGUAAAGCUCCUUCGACGAGUCGAGUAGUUUGGGAAUGCUGCUCUAAAUGGGAGGUAUAUGUCUUCUAAAGCUAAAUACCGGCCAGAGACCGAUAGCGCACAAGUAGAGUGAUCGAAAGAUGAAAAGCACUUUGAAAAGAGGGUUAAACAGUACGUGAAAUUGUUGAAAGGGAAGCGUUUAUGACCAGACUUGGGCCCGGUGAAUCAUCCAGCGUUCUCGCUGGUGCACUUUGCCGGGCUCAGGCCAGCAUCAGUUCGUCGCGGGGGACAAAAGCUUCGGGAACGUGGCUCCCUCGGGAGUGUUAUAGCCCGUUGCAUAAUACCCUGCGGUGGACUGAGGUUCGCGCUCCGCAAGGAUGCUGGCGUAAUGGUCAUCAGCGACCCGUCUUGAAACACGGACCAAGGAGUCGUCUUCGUAUGCGAGUGUUCGGGUGUCAAACCCCUACGCGUAAUGAAAGUGAACGCAGGUGAGAGCUUCGGCGCAUCAUCGACCGAUCCUGAUGUUCUCGGAUGGAUUUGAGUAAGAGCAUACGGGGC
rnacentral:rRNA from 1 species